rnacentral:rRNA from 1 species
UACAGAGGUCCCAAGCGUUGUUCGGAUUCACUGGGCGUAAAGGGUGCGUAGGCGGUUUGGUAAGUCUUAUGUGAAAUCUACAGGCUCAACUUGUAGUCUGCAUGAGAAACUGCCGGGCUUGAGUAUGGGAGAGGUGAGUGGAAUUCCUGGUGUAGCGGUGAAAUGCGUAGAUAUCAGGAGGAACACCUGUGGCGAAAGCGGCUCACUGGACCAUACUGACGCUGAUGCACGAAAGCUAGGGGAGCAAACAGG